UCUCCCCUAAGACAAUGAAUCGUCGUCUCUCAUCUUUGCCGCUUGUGUUCUUUUCUCUCCAGUUAGACGAUGAAAAAACGAUGCUCUGAUCUUCUCCCUCCGAUUAUACAAAUAUGAUAGUCCCAAACGAAUUAGUGCUAUACGAAUGCAAAUAGAGAAGUGACAAAGUCCCAAAUCUCUUCCAUUUUCCAACAACGGUUCAUCCUCUUCGUCGCUUCUUUGUAUCGCAUGAAGCCUUCUGGGAAUCGCCUAACCUUGUAAGGUAUACGGUAUGUGAGCUCUGUUCUUUGCCUGAGUUUUUCAUUUUUUUUUUCUACUAGAGAAACGAAUCAAAUGAUUUUCUAGAUUCCGAGAGUAGCUAGUUGGGGUGGUGUUACAAAAGAGAGAAUUAAGGAAGAGAAGUAAUCUGGUUUUGAAGAUACAGUAAUUGAUUUCAUGUGAAUCCGUAAAACAUUAUUAUACUAGAUAUUUUGUAACCUCAAGAAUCGAUUUUAAGAAAUUGAAAUCGUAGGGGUUUGGCCUGAAAUUUUGAUCCCUCACUCUCUUUAUUAGCAAAUCCGCUGGUUGAUUCAUCUUCCAUGUGUGUACUUGGUCUAUUUUUUGCAUGUUCUUUCGAAAAAAAUAUCAUCGCUCAAGCUAUAUCAUGUUUUCCUUGUUAUGAUAUUCUUCUUGCCUAAAUAAAGAGUGAAAUAGAGAUCAAAUAAGUAACCAACAAAACAACGAUAUUGAUAGAAAUCAGCCUCCUCCUUAGAGGGAGGAAUCCAUGGAUGUGUAUCUCCUCAUUGUUUCACUCCUACUUACAUACCAGCUUCUCAUGGUAUUUUCUUUACCUCUAGACUACACGUUAUCUUGAUUUCGUGAAGGGAUUCAUCCCAGUGUUUUGAUAGAGAUAUAAUACUCAUUUAUGAAGCUAGUGUUUUGAAGUUGUAAAUCAAAUGCUUUACAAAUCAAAUUAGGGCAACCUUAUGUACAACUCAUGAGAAUAGGGUAAAGCAUUUGAGUUCGUGAAGGGAUACUAACCUUAUGUACAACUCAUGUUCUUUACAACUUACGCUACUUUUGUGGAUCUUCAUUUUAAAAAUCAUUUUUUGUGAAUGUCAUUAUUGUUUCUAGUGGUUUUGCAUAUCUUUUCGAUGGAGAAUUAAUAUCCGUUAAUGCAUUGGUAUCAUGUUGUUACUCAUGUCCUUUACAAUAUGUGUGUUUCAUUUGGUAUUUGGGUUCCCUCCAUUGUGCUUCUUUAGGGUUUAGUGUUCUGCGGUUAACUGGCUAAUUGGGUUCACUCCGUUUUGCUUCUUUAGGGUUUAGUGUUUUGCGGUUAACUGGCUACUUGGGUUCCCUCCGUUGUGCUUCUUUAGGUUUUAGCGUUCUGUCGUUAACUGGCUACUUGGGUUCCCUCAAUUGUAGUUCUUUAGGGUUUAGUGUUCCUUAAUAAGAGUGCGGUUAACUGGCUACUUGGGUUCCCUCAAUUGUAGUUCUGUAGGGUUUCGUGUUCCUUAGUAAGAGUGCGGUUAACUAGCUACUUAGGUUCCCUCAGUUGUAAUUCCUUAGGGUUUUCUUAAUACAUGUGUGUUUGAUUUUGUCCUUGGGUUUCCCUUACUACAUUAGUUGUCCUCGUUUACAUUCCCCUUCUAAGUUUGGUUGAGUAAAAUGGCUUCUACUAGCUGCCAAGCUCUUCACUCACGAGCUAUAUAUACUCCACUCCAUGACUUCUUUCUUUUUCUAUGAUCCUUCCUAUUUUUGAGCUUGCAUGAAGUGUUUGUUUUAGGGUUUGCUUGGUAUCAAGUAUCUUCCUGAACAUAUCAUAUUACAUGGUUGGUGGCAUUGACGAGAUAGUGUAAAGACAGAGAAGUUCUUGAAGGAGUUGACAGCUUAAGGAACUGAUUCAUCUCUUUCAUUUUCAGAGUUGUUGUGUUGUUGUCUUCUGAGAUUAAAGAUUGAUUAUGUAAUUUUGAUUUGUUUUUUCUAGCUUUUGUGUUGGUAUAACAAUGAAAACCAAACGAUUGUUGUUAAUUUAUAUAUGAAGACUAAAUGUCUUUUUCUU